rnacentral:rRNA from 1 species
AAUCAACGCUGGCGGCGUGCCUAACACAUGCAAGUCGAACGCGAAAGGGGCUUCGGCCCUGAGUAGAGUGGCGAACGGGUGAGUAACACGUGGGUGAUCUACCUCUGAGUGGGGGAUAACGUUCCGAAAGGAGCGCUAAUACCGCAUGACGUUCUGGGUUUGAAGACCUGGAAACCAAAGCCGGGGACCGCAAGGCCUGGCGCUUGGAGAGGAGCCCGCGCCUGAUUAGCUAGUUGGGAGGUAAUGGCCCACCAAGGCGACGAUCAGUAGCCGGCCUGAGAGGGCGGACGGCCACACUGGGACUGAGACACGGCCCAGACUCCUACGGGAGGCAGCAGUGGGGAAUUGUUCGCAAUGGGCGCAAGCCUGACGACGCAACGCCGCGUGGAGGAUGAAGGUCUUCGGAUUGUAAACUCCUGUUGAUCGGAAAGAACAGGCUUUGACCUAACACGUCAGAGCACUGACGGUACCGGUUGAGG